AUCGAACGCUGGCGGCAGGCCUAACACAUGCAAGUCGAACGAGCGGAGGACGGGUGAGUAAUGGAUGGGAAACUGCCUCAUGGCGGGGGAUAAAUACUGGAACCGGUAGCUAAUACCGCAUAACAUAGGAUGUGCCAAGAUGGGAUUAGCUAGCAGGUGGGGUAAAGGUACAUCUGGGCGACGAGCCCUAGCUGGUCUGAGAGGAUGACCAGCCACACUGGAACUGAGACACGGUCCAGACUCCUACGAGAGGCAGCAGUGGGGAAUAUUGCACAAUGGGCGCAAGCCUGAUGCAGUCAUGCCGCGUGUGUGAAGAAGGCCUUCGGGUUGUAAAGCACUUUCAGCGAGUAGGCGUUACUCACAGAAGAAGCACCGGCUAACUCCGUGCCAGCAGCCGCGGUAAUUC
rnacentral:rRNA from 1 species